GAUGAACGCUGGCGGCGUGCUUAACACAUGCAAGUCGAACGAUGAAGCCCAGCUUGCUGGGUGGAUUAGUGGCGAACGGGUGAGUAACACGUGAGUAACCUGCCCUUGACUCUGGGAUAAGCCCGGGAAACUGGGUCUAAUACCGGAUAGGAGCGCCUGUCGCAUGACGGGUGUUGGAAAGAUUUUUCGGUCAUGGAUGGACUCGCGGCCUAUCAGCUUGUUGGUGUGGUAAUGGCUCACCAAGGCGACGACGGGUAGCCGGCCUGGGAGGGUGACCGGGCACACUGGGACUGAGACACGGCCCAGACUCCUACGGGAGGCAGCAGUGGGGAAUAUUGCACAAUGGGCGGAAGCCUGAUGCAGCGACGCCGGGUGAGGGAUGACGGCCUUCGGGUUGUAAACCUCUUUCAGUAGGGAAGAAGCGAAAGUGACGGUACCUGCAGAAGAAGCACCGGCUAACUACGUG
rnacentral:rRNA from 1 species